GGGGAUUUAGCUCAGUGGCAUAAGCACCUGCCUUGCAGGCAGUCGUGAGUUCAAUCCCCA
rnacentral:tRNA from 1 species